AGUCAUUCACUUGAAGCUCAGUUCUGCUUCAGGAUAUGGCAGCCUCCAAUGUUUAGACCAGCACACCUUGUGGUUUCAUAUUACUGAGUGCAUGAUGGACUGGACAUACACAAUGGGCAUUCAGGAUGUGUCAGGGGACUAGUACUGCAUAUGCAGCCCUCCUGUUCUCUCUGGCAUUCCCCCUGGAAAUCUAUCUUUGGAUCUGUGCAUAAUCGUCUAGUUGGCCAAGGGCGAGGAACAGCUUCUGGAACAGAAAGGGUUAAAAAGCUCAGAAGACUGGACAACAAAAAAGAAAAGUUGGAGGCCUCUGUAACCAUUGCUAGCAUAAAAAACCGUCAAAGUGAGGACUGCUUAUUUUCUCUUUCAAGGCAAAAAUGGGAAAGAAGAAUUUCUUGCAAGCAUUACUGUAAUCCUCUUUGUGUUUCAUAGCCUUUGGGCCCGAACAAACAAAUUGCAUUUGUGAUAUUUUUCACAAUGCACGCCUUACAGUAAGGAUUCCUUAAUGCAUUAGCUCGUGUGAUCAAGUCUCAGCUUUCCUUACGAAAGAUGGAAAGAAGACUAAAGAAAAAAACAACAAACAAAUUACUAAAAAUCUGACUGAGGGUAGUUUACUGUACAAAGUUUAUCGUGAUUUAAAAAGAUUAAGAAAUAAACCUCAUUCUUUUAAAAAAUCUCAGAAACUGGAGGAUUUUUUUCGAUAUUCAUUUUUGACCCUACUGCAGUUCCCAGACAGAAAUUUAUUUUGAAAGGAUUAAUAAAGAUGACCUCUGGCAGAUUCCAUUAUUGUCAUCGCUGUAUGCUGUUAUAUUGCACGGUACCACCUUAAUUUAUUUAUUUCUAGGUUGCCUUUUUUACUGAUAAGAAUGUAGAAUGUGCAUAAAAUCCAUACCCCACCUUUCUUAAAGAUAACACACGUAUAUGAAGUAGAAUGCAGAAAUCUCUGCUAUUUCUGGAGUCACCCAACUUUAUACAAGCUUAAUUGCAUUAUUUCAUUAUUUGCAUUCUAUUUUGUUAUUUAGUAAGCUCCUAGUUGGCAUGAGAAAUAAUGAGAAGGCUUUCAGAAUGCACAUUAAUUCAGGAUUUUUUUUUUCUGGCUGACAUUUCCUAUAGACCUACUGUACAAGUGUCAUCUGGGAAAAUAAUAUUUGUCACAUAU
rnacentral:lncRNA from 7 species